AAGUAAAAAGUUGAGUUUAUAUAAAAGAAUUUAUUUCUUUUAUCAUAUCUCUCUUAAGGGAAGAUGAAAAUUUAAUUAACUAUAUAUAUAUAUAUUGUUAAUAAAAAUUUUUCGCACUCCCAGGGCGCUUGUUUCACGCUUUGCGUGUCAAUGCGCACCUAGAGCGUACACGCUGAUACCCGAAAGAUGGUGAACUAUGCCUGGCCAGGACGAAGCCAGGGGAAACCCUGGUGGAGGUCCGCAGCGAUUCUGACGUGCAAAUCGAUCGUCGGAGCUGGGUAUAGGGGCGAAAGACCAAUCGAACCAUCUAGUAGCUGGUUCCCUCUGAAGUUUCCCUCAGGAUAGCUUGCGCUCGGUUGAGAAGAGUCUCAUCCGGUAGAGCGAAUGAUUAGAGGCAUUGGGGUCGAAACGACCUCAACCUAUUCUCAAACUCCAAAUAGAUGAGAUCCUCGGCU
rnacentral:rRNA from 1 species